GACAGAGGGGGCAAGCGUUGCUCGGAAUCACUGGGCGUAAAGGGCGCGUAGGCGGGAUGGCAAGUCGGUCGUGAAAUCCCUGGGCUCAACUCAGGGGGGUCGGCCGAUACUGCCGUUCUUGAGGGAUGCAGAGGAGACUGGAAUUCCCGGUGUAGCGGUGAAAUGUGUAGAGAUCGGGAGGAACACCGGUGGCGAAGGCGGGUCUCUGGGCAUUCCCUGACGCUGAGGCGCGACAGCGUGGGGAGCAAACAGG
rnacentral:rRNA from 1 species